rnacentral:rRNA from 1 species
GAUGAACGCUGGCGGCGUGCCUAAUACAUGCAAGUAGAACGCGAAGGGAAGGAGCUUGCUCUUUCGGGUUGAGUGGCGAACGGGGGAGUAACGCGUGGGUAACCUGCCUGUAAGCGGGGGAUAACUUUUGGAAACGAUAGCUAAUACCGCAUAAAAUUAGAUGUGGCAUGAUUCCUACUUAAAAGGUGCAAUUGCACCACUACAAGAUGGACUUGCGUUGUAUUAGUUAGUUGGUGAGGUAACGGCUCACCAAGGCGACGAUACAUAGCCGACCUGAGAGGGUGAUCAGCCACACUGGGACUGAGACACGGCCCAGACUCCUACGGGAAGCAGCAGUAGGGAAUCUUCGGCAAUGGACGGAAGUCUGACCGAGCAACGCCGCGUGAGUGAAGAAGGGUUUCGGAUCGGAAAGCUCUGUUGUAAGAGAAGAACGAGUGUGAGAGUGGAAAGUUCACACUGUGACGGUAUCUUACCAGAAAGGGACGGCUAACUACGUG